AAUACCUUCACUAGCCACUAUGUGAUCACGCAGCAGGCUAGACAAGAUGCAGCUGUUGGCAGAGGGGUGUUGCAAUCUAUUUGUUCCUAGGUUCCAACCCCUCCCAUGUGAGGAAUAGACAUGAGCAGGCACUCGAAGAAGACAAAACGGUUACUUACCUCAUAACUGUUGUUCUUCGAGAUGUGUUGCUCAUGUCCUUUCCAAAUCCUACCCACCUCCAGCAAGAAGGAACUGAGGGAGUGGAGGGCCAGCAGGGGGCUGAUAUGCGCUGAUAUGCCGACGCCACUCCAGGGGGCUCCCCAGCUGGCCCGAUGGGUACUGCUAAGAGGAAAAAGCUUCUGGAACUCAUAUAUGUGGCGCACGCACACCUAUGUGGAAUGAACAUAAGCAACACAUCUUGAAGAACGAGAUGUGGUAAGUAACCAGUUUUUCCUUUUCUUUAAUUACAGGAACAAGUAAACCAUCCCUGCUUCUCUCUGCUCUUCUUGUGUGAUGAUGGGAAUCCCCGGCAGCCUGGCAGCACUAACCCUCUCACCUGGCAGAUGGCAGAACUAGACGUUGGGAAUCAGAAGCAGUUCCUGCAGGAUGAAGAACUGGCUUGAAGACUGCAGGAGGAGGAGGAAACUCAUGCAGUAGAUGAACCUUGGGCAGAAAGGGGGCACAUUACAACGUCAGCAGAGGUGUUUUUCAAAUUGGAAGACAGCAAGGAGAAACCAGGAAUGCAGUGACACUGUUGGGCAGCCCAGGAUGAG